ensembl:lncRNA
AUGUGCCUGUGCGCAGAGAGCAGCCAUCUCGGGGGAACUCCGGUAGCUGGCGUGGCCUCGAGGCCGCUGGAUAAGUCGUUAGAAGCUGGCGCUGCUGGUUCCCAUUUCCGCAUUCCAGACACCCACAGUGCCGCCGGAGGAGGCACCACCCCAGGUCGGCCAAGGGAGCUGGGGCAGGUGGCCCUCACCUGGGGAGAACCUGGGACAGGAGGCACGCCUGGGGCCGCCGCAGAGCCACCUGCCCGCCGUGUGAGCAGGGCCGAGUCCGGGACGCCUGAUGCGUCACCUUUGACCUUGGCUGUUGGAAGACCUUGUAGGUUCGCGAGUAUCCAGGGCGAGGCAAGCUCGUGGAAUCGGUCCUCUGGAGCCCCGGAGAGCUCCGUGGAGGUGGCAGGAAGCAGCGGUGGGACAGCAGCCACAGGCCGUCAGCGGCGCUGGUCCCCGAAGCAUCGCCUACAGAACUCUCCACGCCCUUUACUCCAGCGAUUGUCACGUGUGUGACCCUCAGCGCUGUCCAGCCCUGGUGUUGUGAUCUGAAACGUUCGCCACAGAAUCGUCUAUUUGGACACUUGGUCCCCACCCAGUCUUGGGAUAUAGUGGAAGCUUUGGGGUGUGGGGCCCAGCUGGCAGCCUUGGAGCCAUGGCAGAGCUAGAGUGGUAGAGCCCAGCCCCGUCCCGCUCCCUGCCAUGAUGAGUGACCUCUCUCAAACCACGAGCCUGAGUCUCCCAGGUGGUUUUUCUCAGGGACUCUAUCUCAGCCCCUAGACUGCCUGGCACUUCAGGUCAUGCUGUUGGCUCAGCCUCUGUUACGCACGCGCUCCUGACUCCCUGCUCUAGCCUCCGACGUACUGGCUCUUGGCUUGCUGUGCGGCCCUCCCUCUUUCCUCCAUGCUGGCUGCAUACUGGAAUCAGUUGCUCAACUUACUUUCUUUGGUGGGGCUGGGCAGUCUCACUGUGUAGACCUGCCUGUCUUUCUUGAAACUCUCUGUGUAGACCAUCUGACCUUGAGCUCAGAGAUCCACCUGCCUCUGCACCACCAUGCCCAGCCUAGCUACAGCGCUUUUAAAAGACACUGUGUGUGCGGGGGAGGGGGGAGUGGGUCCAGGAUAAAGGCACUUGCUGCCAACCCUGAUGUCGAGAGUUCUGUCUCAGGACCUAAAUGGUAGGAGAAAACUGACUUCUGCUGGCUGUCCUCUGCAGGGGUGACAGUCCUGCCCUGGAUAGCCCUGCCCAGCGCCCCGAAGGGCUUCCCGGCUGUCCUCCUACAGAGCUGCCAUGCUCUAGAUCUCGCAUGUUCCCUGGAGGCUCACAUGCUAACGGCUAGAUUUUUAACCCGCGGUACUGUUGGAAGAGCCAGUGACAGGAACUUAGCCGGCCGGAGGCAUGCCUCUGUUGGGUACUAGAACCCUGCCUGGCUCUCUCUCCU